UCUACCCUAAGAAGUGGAUGACUUAGUAGGUCCCUUUGGGAGAUGACCAAGUCAGGAGAAGAAGGGGAGAAAGAACAUUCUGGGCAGAGGGAACAGAGUGUGAAUGAACUCUUCUUGGAGAUCAAGAUGAUGAAGUGAGUGCAGACUCUGGGAGGAGGGAAGCCAGCAGCCAGGAUGAGCAGCCAUCAACAUUCUUCUUCAGCUUCUUCCAGUACUGAAACCACAAUUCAAGAGGGAAAUGAGGAGGAUUGACUGCCAGAUGGAAGCCAAGGACCAUUAUACUUCAGUUCUCUUUUUAUACAGAAGGAGUGAUAAGGUUGAAAAGGUCAGGCGUCUGGUGAGCUCAGCUGGUUCCUCUGGCCCAGGUUUCACAGGCUGAGAUCAAGUUGUUGGCAAGCUGGACUCUUAUCUGGAGGCUCUGAGAGGGAGGCUGUUUCCAAGCUCAUCCAGGCUGCUGACAGAAUUCAGUUAUUUGGGCUCAGGGCUGAGGUCUCUGUUUCCUUGCUGGCUGUCAGCCAGGAGCCUCUCUCAGCCUGAAUUCCUCACCACGUGGACCCUCCAUUUUCAAGCCAGCAACUUCCAGUUGAGUCUUCUUCAUGCUUUGAAUCUCUCUGAGUUCUGUUGCCUCUCUUCUGCCUCCAUCUGGAGAAAUUUCUCUGCUCUUAAGGGCUUGUGUGAUGUGAUUAAAUCCAACCGGAUAGGACAAUCCAGGCUAAUCUUUCUGUCUUAGGUCUGUAAACUUAAUUAUAUCUACAAAGUCCCUUUUGCCAGGUAAAGUAUAUUAGUUAGUAUUCUCUGGAUAAAUAAGCAAUGAGAUAUACAUCUAUGUCUAUCUCUAUUGAUGUAUAUCUCUGUGUAUGUAUUUAUAUAUGUAUGUAUGAAUGUAUGUAUCUAACAUUUGCCAAAGUCCUUAGAACCAGGGAAGCAGAUGGUAUAAAUUCCAGUUCUAUGGCCUCAAUCAGUGAGACAGAAAAAAGGAGCAAAUUCCUCUUUCCUCUGCCUUUUGUUUCAUUCCUGCCCUCAAUGGAUUGGAUGAUGCACACCCAUAUUGGAGAGGGGAAUCUACCUUAUUGAGCUCAUCCAUUCAAAUGCUAAUAUCAUCCAGGAAUACCCUCACAGACACAGAAAUAUUGUUUAAUUUGGACACACCAUGGCCAGUCAAGGUGAAAUAACCAUCAUGAGGUAAUGUAUUUAUUGGUUCCAGGGGCUAGGGUGUGAAACUUUGGAGGUCCAUUCUGCCUACCACACCAUACAAAGGCUUCACUAUUUGGUUUGCCUCGUGCCUGCCUCAAUUCUAGAGUAGGAAUAUGAUGUUUUCGUCUUUUGGAACAUCUGUAGUAAGAAUUAUUUACCACUUAUCUUAUUAAAUUAUAAAUAAACAUAUUCAAUCAUAGCAAAAUUAGAGUGAAGAGCCCAAAGAAAUCCAUCUAUCUAUUAUCCAACUUCAACAAUAAUCCAUAUUUGCCAGUUGUAAGACACCUAUUUGCUCAGACAGUGAUUUUUUCUUUUUUGUUUCAAUAUAUCCUUUGGUGGAAGAA